rnacentral:rRNA from 1 species
AUUGAACGCUGGCGGAAGGCCUAACACAUGCAAGUCGAGCGAGUGGCGGACGGGUGAGUAAUGUCUGGGAAACUGCCUGAUGGAGGGGGAUAACUACUGGAAACGGUAGCUAAUACCGCAUACCAUCAGAUGUGCCCAGAUGGGAUUAGCUAGUUGGUGGGGUAAUGGCUCACCAAGGCGACGAUCCCUAGCUGGUCUGAGAGGAUGACCAGCCACACUGGAACUGAGACACGGUCCAGACUCCUACGGGAGGCAGCAGUGGGGAAUAUUGCACAAUGGGCGCAAGCCUGAUGCAGCCAUGCCGCGUGUAUGAAGAAGGCCUUCGGGUUGUAAAGUACUUUCAGCGGGGAGGCGUUACCCGAAGAAGAAGCACCGGCUAACUCCGUGCCAGCAGCCGCGGUAAUAC